GAUGAACGCUGACAGAAUGCUUAACACAUCAGCAAUUGAUUGACGGCAGACGGGUGAGUAACGCGUGAAGAAGUUGCCUCACAGGUAGGGACAAUAAUUGGAGACGAAUGCUAAUACCUACUCCUGUGAGAGAGCUUUGCGUCGCAUUAGCUAGUUGGUGAGGUAACGGCUCACCAAGGCGAUGAUGGGUAGCCGGCCUGAGAGGGUGAUCAGCCACAAGGGGCGUGGGACACGAGCCGUACUCUUACGGGAGGGAGCAGUGGGGAAUAUUGGACGAUGGACAAAAGUCUGAUCCAGACAUUCUGGGUGAACGGUGAAUUUUUCGGAAUGAAAAGGGAUUUCUGUUGGGAAGCGUUACCAACAGAAGAAGCGACGGCUAAAUACGUGCCAGCAGCCGCGGUAAUAC
rnacentral:rRNA from 1 species